rnacentral:rRNA from 1 species
GUGAAGAAGGCCUGCGGGUUGUAAAGCACUUUAKUUGGUGAGGAAGGCAUUUAUUUAGUAGAUGUUGACGUUAACCAAAGAAUAAGCACCGGCAAACUCUGUGCCAGCAGCCGCGGUAAUACAGAGGGUGCAAGCGUUAAUCGGAAUAACUGGGCGUAAAGGGCAUGUAGGCGGAUAGUUAAGUCAUAUGUAAAAGCCCCGGGCUUAACCUGGGAUGGUGAUGUGAUACUGGCUAUCUAGAGUGCAGUAGAGGGUAGUGGAAUUUCCGGUGUAGCGGUGAAAUGCGUAGAUAUCGGAAGGAACACCAGUGGCGAAGGCGGCUACCUGGACUGACACUGACGCUGAGGUGCGAAAGCGUGGUUAGCGAACAGGAUUAGAUACCCUGGUAGUCCACGCUGUAAACGAUGAGGACUAGCUGUUGGAAGCCUAUGAGUUUUCAGUAGCGUAGCAAACGCGCUAAGUUCUCCGCCUGGGGAGUACGGCCGCAAGGUUAAAACUCAAAGGAAUUGACGGGGGCCCGCACAAGCGGUGGAGCAUGUGGUUUAAUUCGAUGCAACGCGAAGAACCUUACCUACCCUUGACAUCCUAGGGAGCCUACAGAGAUGUGGGUGUGCCCGCGAGGGAACCUGGAGACAGGUGCUGCAUGGCUGUCGUCAGCUCGUGUUGUGAGAUGUUGGGUUAAGUCCCGUAACGAGCGCAACCCUUGCCCUUAGUUGCUAA